rnacentral:rRNA from 1 species
ACGUGAUCUGAGUUAAGACCGGAGUAAUCCAGGUCGGUUUCUAUCUAUAAUAGAGCUUUUUUCCAGUACGAAAGGACCGAAAAAACACGGCCCAUGUUUUUAAUAUAAGCCGUAUACAAAAUUUAUGAUUAAAACUUAAUAAAUAUUGUGUCUACCACCAACCUCAAGAAAAGAGUA